GACGAACGCUGGCGGCGUGCUUAACACAUGCAAGUCGAACGGAAAGGCCCGGCUUUGGUGGGGUGCUCGAGGGGCGAACGGGGGAGUAACACGUGAGUAACCUGCCCCUGACUGUGGGAUAACUUCAGGAAACUGGGGCUAAUACCGGAUAGGAGCUCCUGCUGCAUGGUGGGGGUUGGAAAGAUUCGGCUGUUGGGGUUGGACUGGCGGCUUAUCAGCUUGUUGGUGGGGUGGUGGCUGACCAAGGCUAUGACGGGUAGCCGGCCUGCGCGGGUGACCGGCCCCAUCGGGCCUGGGAUACGGCCCAGCCUACUACGCUAGGCAGCGGUGGGGAGUAUUGCACAAUGGGCGGAACCCUGACGCGGCACCGCCGCGUCCGGGAUGACGUCCUUCGGGUUGUAAACCGCUGUCGCCUGUGCCGAGGCGUGAGUGACGGUACUGGGUAAAGAAGCACCGGCUAACUACGUG
rnacentral:rRNA from 1 species